rnacentral:rRNA from 1 species
UGGUGGAGCGAUUUGUCUGGUUAAUUCCGUUAACGAACGAGACCUCAGCCUGUUAACUAGCUAUGCGGAGGUGACCCUCCGCGGCCAGCUUCUUAGAGGGACCACGGCCGUUCAGGCCGCGGAAGUUUGAGGCAAUAACA